GUGACAGUCAGGCAGAGAGGAUUAUCCGGAUCAUGGCCUCCCCAGCCCUCAGCCGCCGUGGCUCUCCCGGGUCCCUGUGCGCCCCUGACACUCAGACCAUCCCAGGCGCCCCGCGUCUGCAGCUUCCUCGGCGCUUGCCAAGGAAAGACACCAAGCAAAAGAAAACAAACCCAGAGAGGGGAGGGGAGGCUAACAGAGCCUAGUGGACACCUCGGACCUCUUUCCUUGGGGCUUCCUUCCACCCUCUGUAAUGAGACCCGGGCUGGACACCCCGAACUUCAACAUCCUAGCCCGCGCUGCCUCUAGGGAACCCCGGGAGUGGAGGUGACACCUCGGAGCCCCAAGGCACCAACCCUGUGGUAGUGGCCGCCGCCCGCUCAGUGCGCCAUCCCAGACUACUACCGCCAAGAUCUGCUCUCGUCCCCGCAGCCGGAGCCCUUUAAACAAGUCCCCGGGAGGCGAAUAGCAGCCGUGUUGGUUGGCGCCCUGCCGCCAGCCCGGGCUCCUCACCCUCCUUCCCUCCUUUCCUGUUCCCUUCCAACUCUAACGGGGAGGAUGGCUCGGGGUGAACUGUCGCGUUUCCAGUCCCCCGCCUCCCAACCCCUCCGCCCCCCGGCCCGGAGUUCCCAAAUCCCCCUCUCCUCUUGCCACUAGCCCUCCCCACCUCUGCUUUUUAGGGGAUAGGAGGGGGGGGGGGAUGCAACCUGGCGGAGAGUGUGUUGCAACCCUGAGUUGGCAGCGCAUCACUGUCAACCUGCCCAGGGUCAAGGCUGUGACAUGUUGGGAUUUCUUCUCCUUGCCCCCUCGAAGUAGUAAUUAUUACUGUUAUUAUUAGAACGGCGAGGUUCGGUUGAAACUUUGUUUCUUUUAUCGCCACCCGGGAGCUGUGGUUAGAGCAUUCCACCUGAGGCCCGCGGGGAAGAGGCGGGCUUUUUUGUUGUUGUAGCGGUUGGCCCGCCUGUUUGUUUUGGUCUUCCAGCAUGCACAAUAAAUAAUGAUUAGGAUAAGGAUGCAUAAUCCGGGGCGAAGGCGGCGCGGUGCCCAAGGGGUUCGGCGGCCGCUGCGGCUGCUGUAAGGCCGGAGCCGUGGAGAGAAGAGAAAGGAGUUCUUGAAAGAUAAGAAGCUGCACUUUGGUAUGAAGAGCAUUGAUCAGAAGUUCUGUGAAUGUUUGAACCAGGCCAAAGGAACAACGGUGCAGAUGAGGGAGCUGGACGCGCUAAGAGAAUCAGCCGGUCCUGACAGCAUUUCUCCUUUAAAUCACAGGCCAGAAGGUGAUGUAUGAAGGAGAGGUGCUAUUACCAUGCUCAAGAGGAUGAAAUUGAAGCUUUUAGAAAUCUCAUUAGAACCUUGGAGAAGGAAGGAAGAGGCUGCAGAAUCAAGCUCAAAGACAACCCACCCAUUUCCUGGCUCACAAGGCUCUGCCUGACACCAGAGCCCUCUUCUCUACAGCUCCCUUAUACAACUCAAGAGAAUUAAUUCAUCAUCAAUAUGCCUCUAAGGUAGGACUCCGUGCUCAGGACUCAGUCACUAAACUUCCCAUGGGACAAGCCUGCGUAACCUCUAUUAAAACGGAAACCACUCUUCUUAUGUCACGCUUGCCAAAGCCAUACGUGUUGAAUUUUAAACUUAAACAUACGUGGCUUCAUGUCUGUACCAUUCUGCUUCUCCUGAUAUGUCAUAGAUCCCAACACAAAAACACCCAAGCUCUGGUACAAAAGGAGGAAUUGAAAGUGAGCAGAGAUGCUAUUUCUAGACUGUCUGUCAAAAUAUGUAACGGGAAACAACCAGUACCAAGACCUGAGGAAGCCUACAGGUUGCAGAAGAAAGUGGCUGGUGGGAAUGCAGCCGGGAGGAGAGCUCGGUUUUGAAAUGAGGCGAGAAUACAUGAAAUUAGUGUAACAGCAGCCAGUGCGGGUUCUGUGCUCCCCAAACUUAAAAUUGAGGAAAUCACUGAGAAGAGGCUUUUGUUUCAAAUGAACCUGAGACAAGGCAAGUCUUUCUCAGGACCACAUUAAAUGAGAAGGAGAGAGGCCCCUGGGAUGCUCAGUCAGAGCCCUCAGCUUUUCUGUCCAUCUCCCUGCAGCCAUAACCCAUCAGGCCACAGGGGGGACCAUUUUGUACUCACCUGCUAUGGUGUGCUUAAAAAAGAAGGCCCUUUUUAGGGCUUUAGUUAUUUAGAAAGCCGCUCACCCAGAAUAUGGACACCAACACCAUGGAGCAGUUCUAAAAUUCUGCAGUUAUCUUUUAAGAAAAGCCAGAAUUCAUUAACAAAAUCAAUGAAUGUGUGUGUGUGUGUGUGUGUGUGUGUGUGUGUGU